UACGGAGGGGGCUAGCGUUGCUCGGAAUCACUGGGCGUAAAGCGCACGUAGGCGGACUCUUAAGUCGGUGGUGAAAUCCUGGAGCUCAACUCCAGAACUGCCUUCGAUACUGGGAGUCUCGAGUCCGGGAGAGGUGAGUGGAACUGCGAGUGUAGGGGUGAAAUUCGUAGAUAUUCGCAAGAACACCAGUGGCGAAGGCGGCUCACUGGCCCGGUACUGACGCUGAGGUGCGAAAGCGUGGGGAGCAAACAGG
rnacentral:rRNA from 1 species